rnacentral:rRNA from 1 species
UACGUAGGGUCCGAGCGUUGUCCGGAAUUAUUGGGCGUAAAGGGCUCGUAGGCGGUUUGUCGCGUCGGGAGUGAAAACACGGGGCUUAACCCCGUGCCUGCUUCCGAUACGGGCAGACUAGAGGUAUGCAGGGGAGAACGGAAUUCCUGGUGUAGCGGUGAAAUGCGCAGAUAUCAGGAGGAACACCGGUGGCGAAGGCGGUUCUCUGGGCCUGUACUGACGCUGAGGAGCGAAAGCGUGGGGAGCGAGCAGG